GCUCAUGCAUGGGGUGCAGUGGCAUGUGCCUAUUGUCUCAGCUACUUGAGAGGCUGAGGCAGAAGGAUCGCUUGAGUCCAAGAGUUCUGGCAAUUGUGCACUAUGCUGAUCAAGUGUCUGCACUAAAUUCGGCAUCAAUAUGGUGACCUCCCAGGAGUAGGGGACCACCAGGUUGCUUAACAAGUGGUGAGCCAGCCCAGGCCAGAAACAGACCAAAUCAAAGCUCUCAUGCUGAUGAGUAGUGGAAUCAUUCCUGUGAAUAGCCACUGCACUCCAGCCUGGGCAGCAUAGCAAGAACCCGUCUCU
rnacentral:SRP_RNA from 1 species